ACCUGACUUUAAGUUACUCCAGUCCAGUGUUUUGACAGUCUUUACUACACCCUUAUCACACGCAACAUGCUUUUCCUUCACUCAACUACCAUCCUAAUUCCUAGUGCAAGGCUCAAAAAAUAUAUAAAAAAAAAAAAAAAAAAAAAAAAAAAAAACCCACCAACAAGACCGACCUUCCACCCUUCCAAACGAAAGAAAACUAAAAAUAUAACCAUAUCAAUCAAAAAGGGUCGAUCCAAACUUUUUCAUGUGUCAGACUUAUGCUCAGAGUUGAAGCUUGCAAUCGUCCCUUCAUCCUCUAAAGAUGAUGCAAGAAACUUGUAUCUUGUGCUCAUCUUCUUCGCUUCCUCACUCGAAUAUAUUAGUAUCUUCUUGACCAUCUUACAGAACUCCAGCCAUGGAUCGUCACCCAGAAGCAUCAUAUCACCCUCAUCAUCAGUAAAUACAACAGCCCAUUUGUCACGAGUGGAAAGUUCUCCUUUGAUUUCAAACAUUUCCUCCAGCUCUUUUAUAAGAUCUCCAUACCCUUUCAGCACUGUUAGAUCAACAGCACGACCAACAGCAACUCCUUGCAUUUGCACCUUGGUACGAGUUCUUGUGGAAGAGGAGCCCAGCUUGUUAUGCGUCUCCCUUGGAAAUGUAUCUGAUGCAAUUUGCUUCAGUUCUUUUGAGGACUUAAAAACAUCCAUAUUUUGUGCCUUAUCAGAAUCAUCUGCAGCUGAAACAGGUCCUCUGGUGCCAUUGGGAUCAACAGUGGAACAUAAAGAGUCCUUCUCUGGGGGAGCAGCAGCAUUAGAAUUUCUUGUUAAAUCAAUUCCAAACAAACGGCAGCCUACAGAAUUUUCAUAUUUUUUCCCUUUCUCCACCAGGUUAUGCACCAGGCCAUUGCUUUGCCUCGAUGGAACAGGCGACGCAUAACCAGAGAUGACAGUCUGUGUUGUUAUAGUUCUGUUGUCAUCAGCUGAAUCAGGGAAAAGACUUAGAGAGACAUUCAUGUGAGAAGAAGAAGAAGGCCAUAUGCCCUCUGGUCGGACCCUUGAGUUACAGCUGCUACCAUUUAGAAUACUGCUGUCAAUUUCCUUCUGCCUCAUAGGCCAAACUACUUGGCUUUCACCACUUUGAGCUUCAGCAGCACUACCUAGUUGGCUUAACUCGUGGGACUGGGCUGAUCCAUGGUACCAGAAAGGCGAAGUAGUUGAAUUGGUGGUAAUUUCUGACACUGGUGUAUCUACUGGUCUGGGCCUUUUACUCUUUACCACUGUUGGGGGAAGAUUUACAGAAGCAAAAGCUGCAAAAGGCUCAAUAUCCCAUGGAGAAACUCUCUCUGGCCUUUGAAUUGUUGCUGGUUCAUCCCAUUGUACCUUCAAUGACCGCCAUUUAGAGCCUGACCAGUCGGGAGAAAUUUCUCCAACGCCAACUAUAGUUCCUGUGAACCUCCUCUCAGGAGAGUCUUCUCCCUCAAACCUCAUCUUGAAGCGCAUUCCAACUGACAACCCAUGGUUAACAGCCCCCAAAUAUUUGUUCAAGCCAAUAAUAAAUUGGCUUGUCCUAGGCUUGUAGUACACGACAAAGAGGGUCUGUGUUGUAACGGCAUGAGAAGCAGUAGCGAGCACUCCUAAAUGCAUGCUCUGGCUGGAUAUCACAGAUGAAGGCAUGGGAGUUUGCUGACGAGCAAGACGCCGAACUCCAACUCGCAAUUCCCCAUUAUCACCCCUCAGAAAAACGAAAGCAUCUCCUGCAACCAGUCUCUUGGAAGUGACGAAUGUACUCCACCCAGUUGUAAGCAAAUGUCUUCUUGGUUGACCUCUAAAAAUGUGUUUAAAUCGCCACUCAUAACCAUGAAGAUCUUUGGCAACCAAUUCCUGAGUUGGGGUUACUUGGUUCAUGUCCAAACGAGGUAAGCAUUCAGUGGCGUGCUUUCUGAGAACAGAAAACCCUCCAUGGGUGCUAGUAUCAGAAGCUGUUAGAAUUUUGCAAAAUGAAUGAACCGUUGGCUUUUGGGGUUCAGGCGGGCAUGAAUCGGGACUUGUAGGCUCUGCUUGAUCUGGUUCUGGGUGCAAGGUGAUCUGAGCAUAAACAUCAUCUGUCUCUUGUUCUGCCAGUAGUUGAAUGUUAACCACUCGGCAAAGGAUCUUAGAAGGAAGAUUAAACCGCGGGAUUUGUUGAGUCAGUUCCUGAUUUGUUGAUGCUUCCAAUUGUUCCAUGUGACCCUGAGGGAAAUAGAAAACUCUCUCUCCAGGCCGUGGGACCUCCACCAAUGGACCUGCACAUGCCUUCCAUAGCUCCGUAUAUAGAUCAUCUCCUCCUCUAUCACCAUGAGAAAUCGAAGCACCCCUGAGAUUACUCUCAACAUGAGCCAUAAGAGAGAAAAGAAUAGAAUCCUAGAAGAGUGUGAACAAAAGCAAUAACAACAAGAAGAACAAGGAAAGGUCUCGAAGCAGUAAAGGCUACCCCAUUAAUGGAGAAAGAAAAAAGAGAGAGGGAGACAGAGAGAACGAGAAAGAGGUAAGACAGAGGCGACGGUUAUGAGAGCAUUGAAUUGAUAAUUAGGAGUAGAGUGGGUGAGUUUUUAUCAUCUUGUUUGGGUCUGUUUCAGUUACAAAACCGCUUGUGCUUUUGCCCUGAAAGAGUCACAGAAAAACCGCUGUUUUUCUUGGCAACACUUUUCAGAGAGCAGCGUCUUUUUUGUUGUUGUUGCUGUUGGUGCUGUGAUUUCUAUCUCUUAGACUUGCCCAGAAAUUUUCCGAAUCCCUAAAACAGCUUUCUCAGACUCAUAAUAUUGCAGGGUGAUGUCUCUCUCUCUCUUCUUUCCAGUCACUCUUUAAGUUUCCUCCGCUCUAUGCUUUCUCUUUCUACUCUCUGGUCAUUUUCUCUGCCUCUGGUCUGGUCCCUGUAAUUCUUC
rnacentral:misc_RNA from 1 species